GUUGAGGUGUAUCUGGGAAGGUCGCGGAGGAGGUGGAAUUUGAGGAGGUUCGGGGUGGUGAGCUCUCAGGGAACCUGGACGGGGUCCCACCCUAGGCACCCUGAUCGGAGGACUGGACUGCAGAAAGGGCAGUUGGGUGAGGUCAGUGGAGUUCAGGGUUCGAGGCAGUUUCCUACAUUUCCGAUUAUCCAGAGCAGGAAGGCUGAGUAGGCAGGGUACCCGCGUCUUCAGCCCAGGAAGGUGGUUCCCAUACUGGUUUCCUGGAGGGCUCGGAGAACUCCUUGCACCUUCCUCACGAUUAUUAUGGCCAGGACACACCACCUCCUCUGGCCCCCCUCCACCCAGCUGGCCUUUGUCACAACCUCAGAUCUGAUGGGGGCACUUGUCCCCUGGACUUGCUUCCUGCCCCUUGGCAGCCUCCCUGCUUUUCAGCACCCCCAGAGGUGAGACAGGCCUUCACUCUGGUUGCCGGCUGGAUUUACAACUGAGGUGCACACAGGAUUUUCUCUUCCACCUCCUGAGCUUGGUGGGGAGUUAGUUACCUGUCACCUCUGACCUCCUCGCGCCACUUCGUCCCAAUCAGAGAUGUCCCCACAGUGCAGGCUCGGCCCCCAGGAGCCCCUUGCUAUUUCAUGCCCAUUCUUCACCAAAGGUGAACUAACUGCAGGCCAGACUGGCAGCUCAGGAUGGGGUGCUUGAGUGUUUCCCACCACAAGGAAGUGCGCUGACUAAUCUGUCUUUGGCCACUCGGCCUGUGAUCCAAGCUGCUUGUGGGGGUCCCUGGGCAAGUGUUUCAGCAUGUGACCUGAGAUGUCCUGUCAGAAGCAACUUCUGCUAGACGGGGUCAGGGGUGGCUUUAAGGUCUGCUCCGUGUCACAGCAUCGCAGAGCUGAUGGGGCCCUACCCUGGAAAGCUGGACAGAGACCCAGCCCCCAGAGCUCUGACCAGCUGCGCCCCCUGCCUCACAUCCACGGCUAGGCUCCCCUUGAGGCCAAGACGACUCUGAAGGGAGGCUUUUAGGACCAAGUGCUGCCUGCCACCUGUUUGCUGCUGAGGGCGUGAAGCCGAGCACCUGGCACUGAUGUCCCCCGGGCACACAGCUACAGUAUCCCAAGCUCUUGGAGCUACAAGGACCGGAGCCCUGCCCUGUCAGGGCGAGCCGUGGCGGGGCGGGGGGUUGGUUUCCAGCAUUGUGGACACAAAGAAAGCACAAUGCGGUAAAUAAAGACCAUGCACGCA